rnacentral:rRNA from 1 species
UGGGGAAUAUUGCACAAUGGGCGCAAGCCUGAUGCAGCCAUGCCGCGUGUGUGAAGAAGGCCUUCGGGUUGUAAAGCACUUUCAGCGAGGAGGAAGGUGGUGAGCUUAAUACGCUCAUCAAUUGACGUUACUCGCAGAAGAAGCACCGGCUAACUCCGUGCCAGCAGCCGCGGUAAUACGGAGGGUGCAAGCGUUAAUCGGAAUUACUGGGCGUAAAGCGCACGCAGGCGGUUUGUUAAGUCAGAUGUGAAAUCCCCGGGCUCAACCUGGGAACUGCAUUUGAAACUGGCAAGCUAGAGUCUCGUAGAGGGGGGUAGAAUUCCAGGUGUAGCGGUGAAAUGCGUAGAGAUCUGGAGGAAUACCGGUGGCGAAGGCGGCCCCCUGGACGAAGACUGACGCUCAUGUGCGAAAGCGUGGGGAGCAAAACAGGAUUAGAUACCCUGGUAGUCCACGCUGUAAACGAUGUCGAUUUGGAGGUUGUGCCCUUGAGGCGUGGCUUCCGGAGCUAACGCGUUAAAUCGACCGCCUGGGGAGUACGGCCGCAAGGUUAAAACUUAAAGGAAUUGACGGGGUCAUAGCUGUUUCC